rnacentral:lncRNA from 1 species
AAAGAAGGGAAGGUGUUUUUUCGCCGAAGGCUCAAAAACGAUAUGUACGUAAAGUUUCAUGCAUCGUAAAGAAUUAAAUUACAAACAGUUUAUAUAUUACAUUCAAAACUACAAAAUAUUACACACUUUGUUCAGCAAAUAUUACAUUAAUAUUCCAAAUGUUUUUACAAUAAUAGCCAUUCUUCUUUUAAAACUGCUUCUGCAGCCUCGUUUAGUAGUCGAGUAACAGCUUCGUCCAUAAUAGCUUCGGCCAUCUUAGUAAUUUCAUCUUCCUUUUUUGCUUCGGGGUCGGCCAGUGACUCGAAGGGAUCCGAGGGAGAAGAUAGUUCGGCUGCGAUAUAAAACAUAAAUAAGUCCGAAGUCACAAAAAUAAAACAUAAAGUCAAAAGCAAUUAGGCAAUACAUAUCCGCCUUUCAAGUUCUGCAGUCUUUUCAGCUGUCUUUGUUGCUUCUCUAGCAUCGUGAGUAUCUUUUUCACUUUUCUUUAUAAUUUCGUGGGCCAUCCCUUGGCCGCCAUUUUCCCAGAUGUCGGUGAAAAACUUUCCACCAACUAAGCUUGCGCCGAGGGGUCUUUUGUAUCUUCAAUAGAUAAGGCAGCUUCGUUUUGCGCCAAAGAUUUUACAUGUUCGCACCCUAUCUUCUCCAAGAUAGCUGCAACUCCCCUCGCGCCAGAGAAGGCGCAGACGUCUCCACGGCCAUUUAAAAUUUCCUCGAAGGCAUCGGCUUCGCUACUGAUCCAUUCAAUUGGGCCCUCAGGAUCGCCUCUGUGGCAGAACCUCCCAAGUUAUUGGGCCCACAUGCACCCGUCCUUGUCUCAAAGACCUCAGACUGCUAUGCAUGUGCACCAGAUAACUUAACAGGAUCCGUCCGAUUGCCCCAAGGACACCGGAUAAACCACUUACAACCAGAACCGCGGGAUUAAGUAACACAAAUCACACACACCAAUAUUUUUGCAGCGGAAAUCUUGUUACCAAAUUUUACAAGUUACAAAAAUUUUACAUUAUUUUAUCGGAGUGAUUGCAAAAGUAUAAGUUUGAAAUAUAUGCUAGCUCAAGGGACCAUCCUCAUUAAGAAGUAUAGAAGGGUUACUUAAACUUAUAAGAAGGUCGAGCCCACCGGCACUUAACACCACCAUCAGCAGCACAAAACUAUGACCUGAAAAACAACAGGGAAUAAAACCCUGAGUACGCAAUUACUCAGCAAGACUUACCCGACUAAAGAAAAGACUCUCAAGGGUAUGCUGGCUAGAGGGAGUCAAGGUAAGGCUAAGCAAUAAUCAAGGACUCAUUUUGCAGAAGAGCUUACUAGUAGUGAAUCCUUAUGCCAAAAUUUUACUUCGCAAGUUAAGUACUUUUCCUGUAUCUAGAUUUGCCUAAUCUAUAGCAUUCACUUGUCCUGAUCUAGCUUUCUUUUAACCAACUACAAUCAUGUUUCACUUGUCAACUACGAUGAGUGGUCAGUGAGUCGAGUCUCCAUAACCGAGGAGCAACGACGAUUCGAACCGAUUAUACCCAGCUGGGGAUCCCUAACCACACGACAUAUGUAGCACUUAACCCUUGCAUAUGUCAACCGUUCCCAUAGAUCCUCCACAACGUGAACCGGUCCGCGCUACCCGGGAGCACAGUACUCCUCCAUCCAGCCUCUAGCCAGGAGGGUACACGCU